ACUCUUUGACCCUUAAAUUUACAUCAAGUGAUCCUUCAUCUUAUCGAUAGGGUCUUAUUGACUGCUAAAUGAGGUUACAGGGUGUUACAAACUGCACUUUUCAACCUUCAAAAUCAGCAGCAAAAGUUACUCCUCUCACCCCUUAAAUUGACAGAAAAAUAGCUCUAUUUUCCUCCCUAAAUGGCAACAAAACCGUCCCCCCUCAACUCAACUCUUCCACCUUCCUUUUCUUCCUCACCUCUUGGCCUUUUCUUGUUUCUUU
rnacentral:lncRNA from 1 species